AGACCUACACAUGCAAGUCGGACGGUAGCACAGAGAACUUGCUCUCGGGUGACAAGUGGCGGACAGGUGAGUAAUGUCUGGGGAUCUGCCCCAUAGAGGGGGAUAACCACUGGAAACGGUGGCUAAUACCGCAUAACGUCUCAAGACCAAAGAGGGGGACCUUCGGGCCUCUCACUAUCGGAUGAACCC
rnacentral:rRNA from 1 species